AUUGAACGCUGGCGGCAGGCCUAACACAUGCAAGUCGAGCGGAUGAAGGGAGCUUGCUCCUGGAUUCAGCGGCGGACGGGUGAGUAAUGCCUAGGAAUCUGCCUGGUCGUGGGGGAUAACGUCCGGACACGGGCGCUAAUACCGCAUACGUCCUGAGGGAGAAAGUGGGGGAUCUUCGGACCUCACGCUCUCAGAUGAGCCUAGGGCGGAUUAGCUAGUUGGUGGGGUAAAGGCCUACCAAGGCGACGAUCCGUAACUGGUCUGAGAGGAUGAUCAGUCACACUGGAACUGAGACACGGUCCAGACUCCUACGGGAGGCAGCAGUGGGGAAUAUUGGACAAUGGGCGAAAGCCUGAUCCAGCCAUGCCGCGUGUGUGAAGAAGGUCUUCGGAUUGUAAAGCACUUUAAGUUGGGAGGAAGGGCAGUAAGUUAAUACCUUGCUGUUUUGACGUUACCAACAGAAUAAGCACCGGCUAACUUCGUG
rnacentral:rRNA from 1 species